rnacentral:rRNA from 1 species
UACGGAGGGUGCGAGCGUUAAUCGGAAUUACUGGGCGUAAAGCGCAUGCAGGCGGACUGUUAAGUCAGAUGUGAAAGCCCCGGGCUUAACCUGGGAAUCGCAUUUGAAACUGAUAGUCUAGAGUCUUGUAGAGGGGGGUAGAAUUUCAGGUGUAGCGGUGAAAUGCGUAGAGAUCUGAAGGAAUACCGGUGGCGAAGGCGGCCCCCUGGACAAAGACUGACGCUCAGAUGCGAAAGCGUGGGGAGCAAACAGG